CUUGGUCAUUUAGAGGAAGUAAAAGUCGUAACAAGGUUUCCGUAGGUGAACCUGCGGAAGGAUCAUUAAAUGAAGCAACCUAGGAGCCUGAGAUAUGGCCACCGGGCACACCUUCCACCCUUUGUUUAUCACACUUUGUUGCUUUGGCAGGCCUGCCUUCGGGCUGCUGGCUCCGGCCGGCGAGCGCCUGCCAGAGGACCCAAACUCCGUUUGUCUGUAACGUCUGAGUACUAUAUAAUAGUUAAAACUUUCAACAACGGAUCUCUUGGUUCUGGCAUCGAUGAAGAACGCAGCGAAAUGCGAUAAGUAAUGUGAAUUGCAGAAUUCAGUGAAUCAUCGAAUCUUUGAACGCACAUUGCGCCCCCUGGUAUUCCAGGGGGCAUGCCUGUCCGAGCGUCAUUACAACCCUCAAGCCUAGCUUGGUGUUGGGCUCCGCCGCCUGGCGGGCCCUAAAGUCAGUGGCGGUGCCGUCCAGCUCCGAGCGUAGUAACUCUUCUCGCUCUGGAGGCCUGGGCGCGUGCUUGCCAGCAACCCCCCAAUUUUAUCAGGUUGACCUCGGAUCAGGUAGGGAUACCCGCUGAACUUAAGCAUAUCAAUAAGCGGAGGAAAAGAAACCAACAGGGAUUACCUCAGUAACGGCGAGUGAAGCGGUAACAGCUCAAAUUUGAAAUCUGGCCUCACGGCCCGAGUUGUAAUUUGUAGAGGAUGCUUCGAGCAUGGUCCGGCCUAAGUUCCUUGGAACAGGACGUCAUAGAGGGUGAGAAUCCCGUAUGCGGCCGGGUGCCUACGCUCAUGUGAAGCUCCUUCGACGAGUCGAGUUGUUUGGGAAU
rnacentral:sRNA from 1 species